CCUCGCUCGCUCGCGGGUACAGUAGGUGUACAGCUAAGGGAAGAAGACACGGGCUGUCGGGAGGCUGAACCUGACUUCUCUUCAUUGUGGGCUCCUAUUGUGAUCACUCUAAAUGAAAUGAAGUGUUGGUUGCUGGCUUGGAGACAGCAGUGGCCAAUAGUUAAGAGGACAAAGCCAAUUAAGUGAACUCUUGAAAAAUCACCAAAACAUUGUGAAAUACUUAGAUUGAAAACACUACAAUAUUUGCUGUGGAGAAACAGAACUUUGUGGAUUUAUGAAUGGAAAUGAGAUAUAACGUUCUGGAUUCUUACAAGAGAGCAGAAAGUAUGAGCAAUGAAUUGGUUUCCGAUGUUUGCAACUAUGACCUUAAAUGACAGAACUGAGCAGGACUCAUGGUACGCCCAGCAUCCCUUGCAUGUUGCCUGGAAGGUAUUCCUGGACCACUUGCCUUACCUCAGGAGGUUUCUUGGAAUAAAUUGGAAUUCACUGAUGUGUAUUGGAGCACUGUGAGGCUGGCUUCCGGUUAUUGUUAGGACUGACAUGGCUACAGAAUUUCUCUAAACCUCACGUCUGCAAACUGCAGGGUGUGCAAUACCUUGUACUUGGUGUCCUUAAGUGAUUGGUAGUAUCUCAAUAAGCACAAGAGAGUUAGCAAAUAGGCCCAAUCUCUUCCCUCUGCAGGCUUCACAUACCCAGACUCUAAUGAACCAUGGCAGCGUCAGAGUGCAGCAGCAUUUUACAGAUAAGGGCACCUGACACAAAAAGACCAGGUAACUUGGUCAGAGUUGCAAAAAUCAUUCGAAGAGCCACAACUAAUUGUCAUGUUUUCUGACCUCCAAACCACUUGACAUGUGUUUUGACACAUAUAUUUCCAAAACAGAUUGACAAAAAUCAUUGUUUAAAUGGCUUAAUUUGAUAAUGCUGGGUGAUGCAUUGCUAUUUGAUAGAAAGUAGAUUUAGCUAUCCAAGAAACACACAGUUGACUUUCUUCCAGAUGCUGCAAGUACAUUUUUAGUAAACUAAUUUAAAAAUCAGUAACAGAAGGCCUAUGAUGAACAUAUUUUUGCUUUUUUUUUUGUCAUUUUACAUUUGACUAACCUUUUAUAACACCCAAAUGUAUGGGCAUAAUAAGUUGGUGCUGAGAGAAAAACUUUAUGAACUUCUGAGGACCAUAAAGCAGUUAGAAAGUAAGUUAAUAUUCUGAAGUGCAUUAAUUAAUACUUUUGACUACCCUGACCAGUUAAGAUCCUCAGAGACAUAUACCCCAAUUUUGAAUCCAAUUAAAAUGAUCUCCAUUACUAAAUUAACCCAUGUACAUUCAGAUCUUGAUAUAAAAUGACAUAGUCUCAAGACACCAAUUAAUUAAUCAAACAUGCAAAAAUAUGUCAAGAAAAUUAUUAAUCCUUCUAUUCUGAUGUCAGAUCUCAAAGGUCUUCAAACUUCUUGUAUAUUAGAAGUAUUAUAUACUAUGUCAAUUCUUCUUCACUUUAUUUAAAAGAUGACACUGAAAAAACAUUUCACCAUAUGUUUGUUUUAGAUGCAGUGAAAAAAUGUUCUUUUCGAAACAUAUGGUGAUGUAAUUAGGUGUCUCUGAACACAGCAAGGUUGGAAAGAGAAAUGUAUGAACGAAAUUGAAACCAUUUGCUGCUCUGGUGUCACCCCCCACCUUCCCCACCAACGUUAGUAUCUUCUCUGAGUUAUCAUUGUUGUAAUAAAGAAAAAUUUUAAGCACUUGAAGAUGAGGAAUGUCUGCUGUCACCUACCAUGGUUAUAGCAGAUAGAAUUCCAGGACUGCCUCUUCUUCCCUCUCACUGUGCAAAGCUAUGUGACUCAUGCUGUCAGUACCUCUUGCUGAGGAGUUUUGGCAUUAAUCCAGCAUCAUUGACAUUUGUGUAAUGUUUUGCAGCCGGGAGUCUGCUUUUAUCUAUGGCUUAGCUACCUUUAUGCAGCCUCAUGGGAUUUAUUUCUACUAAUGGGGAGAGGCCUUGUGUUUCUUUUUCUUCAAUAAAAAUGUUUGUUUAAAAAUA